rnacentral:rRNA from 1 species
GAUGAACGCUAGCGAUAGGCCUAACACAUGCAAGUCGAGGGGCAUCACAUGAAGUAGCAAUACGGAUGGUGGCGACCGGCGCACGGGUGAGUAACACGUAUGCAACCUGCCUUCAACAAGGGGAUAACCCGUUGAAAGACGGACUAAUACCCUAUAACACAGGGGUCCCGCAUGGGAAUAUUUGUUAAAGGACAACCGGUUGAAGAUGGGCAUGCGUUCCAUUAGCUAGUUGGCGGGGUAACGGCCCACCAAGGCAACGAUGGAUAGGGGAACUGAGAGGUUUAUCCCCCACACUGGUACUGAGACACGGACCAGACUCCUACGGGAGCAGCAGUGAGGAAUAUUGGUCAAUGGACGCAAGUCUGAACCAGCCACGUCGCGUGAAGGAAGACGGCCCUACGGGUUGUAAACUUCUUUUAACGGGAAUAAAGUGCCCCACGCGUGGGGUUUUGCAUGUACCGUAUGAAUAAGGAUCGGCUAAC